rnacentral:rRNA from 1 species
AUUGAACGCUGGCGGCAUGCCUUACACAUGCAAGUCGAACGGUAACGCGGGGCAACCUGGCGACGAGUGGCGAACGGGUGAGUAAUGCAUCGGAACGUGCCCAGUAGUGGGGGAUAGCCCGGCGAAAGCCGGAUUAAUACCGCAUACGACCUACGGGUGAAAGGGGGGGAUCGCAAGACCUCUCGCUAUUGGAGCGGCCGAUGUCAGAUUAGGUAGUUGGUGGGGUAAAGGCCUACCAAGCCGACGAUCUGUAGCUGGUCUGAGAGGACAACCAGCCACACUGGGACUGAGACACGGCCCAGACUCCUACGGGAGGCAGCAGUGGGGAAUUUUGGACAAUGGGCGCAAGCCUGGUCCAGCCAUGCCGCGUGUCUGAAGAAGGCCUUCGGGUUGUAAAGGACUUUUGUCAGGGAGGAAAUCCUGGUGGUUAAUAGCUACUAGGGAUGACAGUACCUGAAGAAUAAGCACCGGCUAACUACGUGCCAGCCGCCGCGGUAAAAC